rnacentral:rRNA from 1 species
UACGAAGGGGGCGAGCGUUGUUCGGAUUUACUGGGCGUAAAGGGCGCGUAGGCGGCGUAACAAGUCACUUGUGAAAUCCCCGGGCUUAACCUGGGAAUGGCAUUUGGGACUGCAUGGCUAGAGUGCGGCAGAGGGGGAUGGAAUUCCGCGUGUAGCAGUGAAAUGCGUAGAUAUGCGGAGGAACACCGAUGGCGAAGGCAAUCCCCUGGGCCUGCACUGACGCUCAUGCACGAAAGCGUGGGGAGCAAACAGG